rnacentral:rRNA from 1 species
GAUGAACGCUGGCGUCGUGCCUAAUACAUGCAAGUCGAGCGAACGGACGAGAAGCUUGCUUCUCUGAUGUUAGCGGCGGACGGGUGAGUAACACGUGGAUAACCUACCUAUAAGACUGGGAUAACUUCGGGAAACCGGAGCUAAUACCGGAUGAUAUUUUGAACCGCAUGGUUCAAAAGUGAAAGACGGUCUUGCUGUCACUUAUAGAUGGAUCCGCGCUGCAUUAGCUAGUUGGUAAGGUAACGGCUUACCAAGGCAACGAUGCAUAGCCGACCUGAGAGGGUGAUCGGCCACACUGGAACUGAGACACGGUCCAGACUCCUACGGGAGGCAGCAGUAGGGAAUCUUCCGCAAUGGGCGAAAGCCUGACGGAGCAACGCCGCGUGAGUGAUGAAGGUCUUCGGAUCGUAAAACUCUGUUAUUAGGGAAGAACAUAUGUGUAAGUAACUGUGCACAUCUUGACGGUACCUAAUCAGAAAGCCACGGCUAACUACGUG